rnacentral:rRNA from 1 species
UUUUAGAAUUUAAUUUAAAGUCUAACCUGCCCACUGAAUAAUUUUAAAUGGCCGCAGUAUCUUAACUGUGCAAAGGUAGCAUAAUCAUUAGUCUUUUAAUUGAAGGCUGGAAUGAAUGGUUGGAUGAAAUAUUAACUGUUUCAUAAAAAUUAAUAAUAGAAUUUUAUUUUUUAGUCAAAAAGCUAAAAUUUAAUUAAAAGACGAGAAGACCCUAUAAAUCUUUAUAUUAGUUUAAUUUUAAUUAUAUAGAUAAUUUAAAUUAUAAUUAUUUUUAAUAUUUUAUUGGGGUGAUAUUAAAAUUUAAUAAACUUUUAAUUUAUAAUUUACAUAAAUUAAUGAAUUAUUGAUCCAUUUAUUAUGAUUAAAAAAUUAAGUUACUUUAGGGAUAACAGCGUAAUUUUUUUAGAGAGUUCAUAUUGAUAAAAA